rnacentral:rRNA from 1 species
AGAGUUUGAUCCUGGCUCAGAAUCAACGCUGGCGGCGUGCCUAACACAUGCAAGUCGAACGCGAAAGUCCCGCAAGGGAUAAGUAGAGUGGCAAACGGGUGAGUAACACGUGGGUGACCUGCCUUCGAGCGGGGGAUAACGUCCCGAAAGGGACGCUAAUACCGCAUAACAUCCUGCCUUUUAAGAGGUGGAGAUCAAAGCCGGGGACCGCAAGGCCUGGCACUUGAAGAGGGGCCCGCGUCUGAUUAGCUAGUUGGUGGGGUAAUGGCCUACCAAGGCAACGAUCAGUAUCCGGCCUGAGAGGGCGGACGGACACACUGGGACUGAGACACGGCCCAGACUCCUACGGGAGGCAGCAGUGGGGAAUUGUUCGCAAUGGGCGCAAGCCUGACGACGCAACGCCGCGUGGAGGAUGAAGACCUUCGGGUCGUAAACUCCUUUCGAUCGAGACGAAUGUUUUCCGGGUGAACAAUCCGGAAAAG